rnacentral:rRNA from 1 species
CCGCGGUGAUACGUAUGGUGCAAGCGUUAUCCGGAUUUACUGGGCGUAAAGAGCUCGUAGGCGGUUUGGUAAGUCAUAUGUUAAAGACCCGGGCUUAACUCGGGGGAUGCGUGUGAUACUGCCAAGCUAGAGAGCGGGAGAGGUAAGCGGAAUUCCUGGUGUAGCGGUGAAAUGCAUAGAUAUCAGGAAGAACACCAGUGGCGAAGGCGGCUUACUGGACCGUUUCUGACGCUGAGGAGCGAAAGCUAGGGGAGCGAACGGGAUUAGAUACCCCGGUAGUCCUAGCCGUAAACGAUGGGCACUAGGUGUGGGAGGUAUCGACCCCUUCUGUGCCGCAGCUAACGCAUUAGGUGCCCCGCCUGGGGAGUACGGCCGCAAGGUUAAAACUCAAAGGAAUUGACGGGGGGCCCGCACAAGCGGUGGAGCAUGUGGUUUAAUUCGACGCAACGCGAAGAACCCUACCUGGGUUUGACAUCUGGGGGAAUCUCCUGGAAACAGGAGAGUGCCUUUCGGGGAAACCCCAAGACAGGUGCUGCAUGGCUGUCGUCAGCUCGUGCCGUGAGGUGUUGGAUUAAGUUCCGCAACGAGCGCAACCCCCUAUCCUUAUUUGCCAUCAUUAAGUUGGGGACUAUAAGGAAACUGCCAGUUUAUGACUGGAGGAAGGUGGGGAUGACGUCAAGUCAGCAUGGCCUUUAUACCCAGGGCUACACACGUGCUGCAAUGGCCGGUACAACGGGUUGCAACACCGUGAGGUGAAGCGAAUCCCUUAAAGCCGGUCUCAGUUCGGAUUGGAGUCUGCAAUUCGACUCCAUGAGGUUGGAAUCGCUAGUAACGGCGGAUCAGAACGCCGCCGUGAAUACGUUCUCGGGCCUUGUACACACCGCCCGUCACACCAUCCGAGUCUGGUGCACCCGAAGUCGCUGACCUAACCCAUUAGGGAUGGAGGUGCCUAAGGUGUGCCCGGUAAGGAGGGUGAAGUCGUAACAAGG